rnacentral:lncRNA from 1 species
UUUCAUAAUGAUUUAUUUCAAUCAAUAAAGCUUAACAACUUUCUUUAACAAGAUUCGAUGUUAUAAGAUUUUAAACCAUAUAUUGGUACUAAUAAGCCUCUACUAGUAUGCUUCACAUAGACAUAGCAUAGUUCAUUAUUUGAAGACGUAUUUGAAACCACACUUGAAACGUCCAAUUCAUGCUUAGCUAAAUGAUGAACAUAUUCGUCAUGUCUAGG